CGGCCCCGCUCCCCGGCCCCGCUCCCCCGCUCCCGGCCCUUUGCCCGGCCCUUUGCCCGGCCCUUUGUCCGGCCCGUGCCCACGGAAACCCGGCGGGGCCCGGCGGAAAGGGCCGGACGGCGGCACAAAGGAGCGCGGCGGGGGCGGGACGGGGCACGGCCGGGCCUGCAGCCGCGGCGAGCUCCGCGGGCCCGUCCUGCUCCGGGAGCACCGGGAACACCGGGGAACUACGCCGGGAUAAGCGAGAACACCGGGGAACAAUCCAGGGAAACAGCACCGGGAAACAGCACCGGGAACAGCGGGGAAACAACCCCAGGGACACCGGGGAACACCGGAGAACAUCGGGAAAACCGGGAAACAACCCCGGGGAACACCGAGAAGCACCGAGGAACACCGGGAACACCGUGAGCUAAGUCCAGAGAACACCGGGAAGACCGGGGAACACCGUGAUCCAAGCCCGGGAACGCUGAGCACACCGGGGAGCACCGAGCACACCGGGGAACACCGAGCACACCAGGGAACACCGAGCACACCGGGGAGCACCGAGCACACCGGGGAGCACCGAGCACACCGUGGAACACCGAGCACACCGUGGAACACCGGGCACACCGUGGAACACCGGGCACACCGGGGAACACCGAGAACACCGGGGAGCACCGAGCACACCGGGGAACACCGAGAACACCGUGGAACACCGAGCACACCGUGGAACACCGGGCACACCGGGGAACACCGAGCACACCGGGGAACACCGAGAACACCGAGCACACCGUGAGCCGAGCGCGGGGAGCAGCGAGCGGCCCUCAGCGUGAGGCGCGGCCUGCGCGGGACGGGGCGUGAGGGGACGGAGGAGCCGCCCGGGCGAGGGGAUUUCGUGAGGAGGAUGCUGUGAUGAUGCUGAGGGAGAUGCAGCGACGAGCUCUGCUCCAGGAUUUAGCUCUGCCCAGAGCGCCGGGGAUGCUGCGGCAAGGUUGCCAGAGAGGCGGAUACCAGCCUGCAUCCAGGUUUUUGCUGCAUCCCUGCUGCCGAGCGAGAUAUGGAUCAUCCCUGGGAUUAUUGCUGCCUGGCCCUGGCAGGGAGGGGGCUCUGGAGGUGCUGCCGUGCCGGGGAGGUGCCGGUUCUGCCGGACCCUGCGGCGCUGUGGAUUUUUCAGUUCUGGAGCCGACGCUCCCCUCACGGUGAGGUCUCUGUGGCGCAAUGGACGAGCGCGCUGGACUUCUAAUCCAGAGGUUCCGGGUUCGAGUCCCGGCAGAGAUGAUCUCCAGGCAGGUGUCUCUUUUCUUUUAGUGCCAUUUCCCUCCCAGGUCCCCAUCCGUUACGUUUAUAAUGCCCCCCGAGGGUUUGCGUGGGGAGGGAAUGACUUUUCCUGGCAUGGCUGAUGGAUGUAGCAUCCCUGUGCUCCCUUCCUGAGGCAUUUCUCCUCCAUCAUCUCCCCCUUCCCUCGUUCCCUUUGGUAUCUCCUCCAAGCAGGUGUUUUAACCCCACACGUCCCCCCCAGUACUGUCCCAUUUUUGAUACCUGCUUCCUAAGGAGUGUUCUGUGCUUUCCAGUAGGGCCCAGCUGGAGGGAAGUGGGUCAGAACCAUGCGGUGGCAUUUCCUGUGAUAAAUGGGGUAAUUUUUUCACAUGUGUGGCCAAAGAAAUGUAAAUCUCUGAUCUGAAUGUCCACCUUGGUAAAUUUGGGGAACUCCCUGCCUGGACCUUUGUACUCUGAAAUGGUUUUAAACUGCCAGAGGGCAGGAUUAGAUGGGAUAUUGGGAAGAAAUUGUUCCUUGUGAGGGUGGGGAGGCCCUGGCACAGAUUAUUCCAUGGAUGUCCCAUGCCUGGAAGUGUCCAAAGCCAGGUUGGAUGGGGCUUGGGAUAGUGGCAGUUGACCCUGCCACGGUAGGGUUGGGACUGGACAGGUUUUAAGGUCUCUCCCAACUCAAACCAUUCCGUGACUCCACACUCUCUGCACACUUGCCAAUCCCAGGAUGCUCUCCCAUUGACUGGAUUUCUGGUCUCCAGUGGAAAACCAGUCCAUCUCCAUCUCUGAGUUUGGUUUGUUUGUUUUUCCCUUUGUGGUAUCUGUGCAAAUGCUGGAGCUCUGCCUGUUUGGAAAACCAGGCCCUGGUGGUGCUGGAAGUUCUGCCCCCAUGUUCAUCCUGGCAAAAUUGUCAUUUCCAUCACAUCCAGGGGAAAAAGGCCAGAAGAUUAUUCUGAAAAAGAAAAAACAUGUUGGCAGUGGGUGGACACACCCAAAGGAAAAUUUGGUAGGAAUGGGGGGAGAAAGGGCAGAUUCUGCAAAAAUCACUCCUGCCAUCAGCAAAUGGAAAUGAAAGUUCUUCAUUUGUGUUUUGGGACAGAGGCAGCAAUAAAACUGUGAUUCCAGCUCAGCUGUGGUUCCUCUGGGGAAGGGUUGGAGCUCUUCUUCCCUAAACAUGAGUGUGGAGGAGCUCAGGAGCAGAUCCUUGGUGUUACCAGGUCACCCUCAGGUGUGCUGCCCACGAGGUGAGGAGGUGUGAGGAUUCCUGUCCUCCCUGCAAGAAGAGAAAUUCUCAUUUGGAAAGGGAAAAAAAAAUCUGCCAAAUCUGCUGGGGAAGGUGAGGAAAAUUGAGGAAUUAGUGCCAUUCCCUGCAGGAUACAAACACUGAGUUACACCUGAGUUACACCUGAGUUACACUGUCCUGUCACUGCUGCAAGAUGUUGUUCCCAGUGGGGGAACUCCUCCUGGGUUUUUGGCAAUGACCCCGUGUGUAAACACAGCUCAAAAGCAGUUCCCUGCUAAUUAUGCCACCCUCCCCAUCAGAAUCAUGAAGACUUUGCUUUCCACCCCAGAAUUGUCCAGAUUCCCAACAAAAAGGAUGUUUGGGAUGCCCUACACUGAAGAGGGAGCUUGCAUGGAAUCUCAUAUUUAUCCCUCCAGACCUCAGGUAGCAUCAAGUUCCCAGGAAUAAAUCCCCAUCUGGAGGGGCAGGGAAUUUGUCCCAAACCCUACCCUGUGGGGCCAACCAAAACUCUGGAAUGAUCCCAUGGCAACCCUAGAACUGACAGAAAUGGUGGAAUGCUCCCCUGGAAAUCCUAGAACCAACAAAAAGGGUGGAAUGCCCCCCUGGCAACUCCAGAACUGGCAAAAAUGGUGGAAUUCUACCAUGGCAAUCCUAAACCCAACAAAAACAAUGGAAUGCUUGUUUGACAACCCUAGAACCAAGAAAAACUCUGGAAUGUUCCACUGCCAUCCCUAAAAUCAACCGAAAUGCCGGAAUGCUCCCCUGGAAUCUCCUUUGCCAUGAGCUCUGGACUGUUCCUCCUGCCCCAUGGGGAGUAAAACCCAGCAGGUUGGACACCUCUGCUUUCCCCUCGUUCACCAUCCACACCAAACAAGGCCAGGGAGGUGACAGGAGGGGACAGUGUGAUUUUUAACCCUCGUGGCUUCCCAGAGCCACCCUGGACCCAGCACGGAUCAGGGUGGAGGAAGAGUUGGGCUCCCCCAGGAGCUCGCAGGGUUUGGGGUUCAGGUUUAUCUCUAAAUAAAUUCAUCACUUCUGGCCCAUU